CGGUUCGCUCAUAGAUUUUUUGUGAGCCGUACGGGUCAGAUUUAGUCAACUUAAAUGGACGGCUCGCGUAGCUUUUGGGGGUUGAAAAUUUAAAGCCAGGGUGUCAGCGAUAAAGUUGUUCGGCCUACGAGUAGCCCUGCGAAACCUCUCUCUUCUGCGCGUAAACCUCCCUCCCUCUCUCUUCUGCAAAAAUAGGAAAACAUCUCUCCCUCUCUCUCUCCUGCAAAAUCCUCUUUUGAGGUAAAAUCCAUACUCUCCCUCUCUCUCUCUCUCCCCUGUAAAACCUCCUUUUGUUUCAUCCUGUUUGAAAACCACAAAGAACCAACCCUGCGAGCAGCAACAACCAGCAAGACAACAAGCAACAUUCUCUCUCUCUCUCCUGGUCUUCUUAAAAAACCAACCCUGCGAGCAUCAACGAACAGCAAGCUGAAUGAGGCAAAGCUCUCUGUCUCUCUCACCAGGGCAACAAGACAACGAUUGGAGGGUGUUCCUCUAUCUCUCUCCACAAAGCACAACAAAGGUAUGGAUUAUGCUUCAAGCUUCAUUGCUUAUAGUGAUUUCAAAUUAGAGCUUCUUUUUUUUUUUUGACUUUACAUAAGAGCUUUGUAUCAAUGGCUUUCAAAUUAGGGCCUUUUUUUUUUCAAUUCACAUAAGAGCUUUGUUAUUGUAUCAGUGGCUUUCAAAUUAGGACUUUUUCGGAAUGUUGUUUUCUCUCAAUUUUUUAUCUAACCUAUUGUGAGAGUAAAAAGGACCAAAUUUUGAUGUUAGUUGUUGAUUUAAGAUGCUAACAAGGUCCAAAAUAUUUUUUUUUGAAUUUUGUGGCAAGUUUCAAUUUGUCAAAUUUGCCAAGAAUGUUUGUGAUUUCUUUCUACCAAAAGUUAAUGUUCUUAAAGUAUUUAUAGAUCAAACUUGACAAAAACAAUCAAAUAUUAGUUUUGAGUUAUUUUAAACCGAACAUGGUUUUGUUUUGGACCUGAUCAUCCGAGGAACCACUGGUGGUUAGCUAUCCGACCAGUCGGUUCGUGCGGUUUGAUUCAGUCUUGAUAACCAUGCAAGAUGAGGAACUUACUGAUUUAGGUAUAUGUUGAGGGAAAUUUAUGUACAUAUCAUGGUAAAUUUAUGGAAUUACCCUUCGGGCAUAAUUUUCGAAAUCUUAAAAUGAUGCCAUUCUUCUUUUUUCUUUUUUUUAAUUUUGCUAUUGGUUUGAUGUUGCCAUCUAUUUUUCCCUAAUAUCUAGGGCAGUUCAAUACCCAAAUUAUUGGAUGGGCCGAUUUCUUGGGCGGUGAUCCCAUAUUGGAAACAACAAACUACCUUAAUAUUCAAUAUGGUGAGUUUUGAAUGGGGUCAUCCGAUGUUUGCUACAAUGAACUACUUUUAAAAUAUAAGACGAAUAAAAAAAUGGGUUUUAUUAUAUUAGUAACAUUCAACCAUCCAAUAUUUAGAAUUUUUGGUUUGUUAAUGGUUCAAACAUGGUGGAAUUGAUGUUGCAUUGUGAAGUCAUACAAUUUUGAGUCAUGGUUUCUUUUCAUUAGGUUUGUUUCCUUUCAAUCAUGAAGUUUUUUACUUUGUUAAUGGUUCAAAUAGGGUGAAAUUGAUCUUGCUUUGUGAAGUCGUACAAUUUGGAGUCAUAAUUGAUUUUUUUUUUCAUUAGGUUUGUUUCCUUUCAAUGAUCAAGCACUUUUGUCUAUUAAUGGUUCAAACAGGGUGGAAUUGAUGUUGCUUUGUGAAUGGUUUGUUAUUUUCCAAGUGAGAGCUUUCUAUUCAUUAGUAUGCUCAUUGAAUUUAAAAUUAGGUGUUCAAUGAGAUGGAAACCUGUAAACAUAAUUAGUUUUAAACUAGUGAUUAUAGAUUGGACCUGAAAUAAGAUGUGUUUUGUGUAGGAUAAUUAUAGUACCUAAGAUGGACAUCACCAUUUCAAAAAGUGUGACACCACCUAUACUGUUAGACGAUGACAACGUUGGGAUAAUGUACACCCCAUGGAGAUUGAUCCCUUGCUUGCAACCCCCUCCCCCAAUAAGUUCACAAAUUUCAAAAACGGGGAAUGUGCGUCCUCAUCCAAGGGGUCAGAAAUAGAGGAACCCCAAAUAGGAAUGAUAUUUAGUGCUGAAAAUGAUGCAUAUGAGUUUACAAGGUUUAUGCAUUGGUGCAUGGGUUUUGUAUUAGAAAGGGAAGUACUCACAACAAUAAGGAUGGACAAAGAAUUGAUAGGGAAUAUAAAUGUUCAAAAGAAGGAUUCCACAAGGAGAAGGAAGUGUUACGUAAGAAAAAUUGUCCUCAGACAAGGUGUGGUUGUGCAGCGAAGAUGUCAAUAACCAUAAAUGCUAAUAAUGAGUGGGUUGUUUCACCGUUUGUUAAGGAACACAAUCACGACCUUGUAACUCCGAGGAAAGCUCGACUCAUCCGAUCGCAUCGCACAAUAUCAGAUGCGACAAAGAUAAUGAUAAACUCCAUGAGCUCUGCUUUGUAAAGUCUCGGAAUAUCUAUGAUAUAUUUUUAGAGCAGGCUGGAGAGAUUGAUAAUAUCCCUUGCUCACAAAAAGACAUUGAGAACCAAUUAGGAAAUAAGAGAUUCAAAGGGGAAGAUGACAAUCGUGCAAUGCAAUGGUUAAUCGAUAUGAAAAUAUCGAAUCCACCUUUUUUCUAUAAGGUGAAAUUAGAUGAACAAAAUCAUAUUGUCAGCCUACCAUGGGUAGAUGCCAUGUCAAGGGUGUUCUACUACUAUUUCUCGGAUGUAGUUACUUUUGAUACCACAUAUAAGACAAACUCUUUUAGCAUGCCCUUUGCUCUCAUACUUGGAGUGAAUCGCCACUUUAGCACAAUAUUUUUUGGGUUUGCACUUUUAUUUGAUGAGAAGGUAGAUUCCUUUGUAUGGGUAUUUGAAAAUUGGCUAGAGGCAAUGGGUGGACGCCAACUGGGCAUAAUUAUCACAUAUCAGGAUCCUGCAUGACCGCUGCAGUGAGACAAGGUUUGAAUAGAAGCAUACAUCAUUAUUGUAAGUGGCACAUACUUUCAAAGGUUAAAGAAAAAUUGUGUCAUGUCUUGCGAAGGAGUCCAUCUUUUAUAGAAAUAUUCAGGAACUGUAUAAUGAGGUCAACUAAGGAAGAAUUUGAGUCAUAAUAGAAAUCUCUCAUUGAGACAUAUGAUAUUUAUCAGAAUGAAUGGCUUAAUAGAUUGUAUAGAUGUCAAAAGCAAUAAAUUGAUGCAUACAUGGCAGAUGCAUUCACAGCCGGUAUGUCAUCGACUCAAAGAAGCAAAGAAAUGAAUAAGUAUUCAAAUAUUAUGUGACUUCCAAUACCAGCUUGCGCAUAUUGUUAGAAACUUCUGUAAAGGUGCAUGAUAAAAAACUUCUUAAGAUGAGAGAAAAUGACUUAAAGAACAGCACAAGUACACCUGUUUUGAAGAUCACAUGUGGCAUGGAGGCUCAUGCUUCGAAAAUAUAUACACACAAAAUUAUGAAGUUGUUUAGUAAAGAAGUUGUAAAAGGCAUCAAUUACACAUUAUUGAAGAGAAUGGCACAAUCGCAAUCUUCAAGGUAUCAAACCAUGGAACUGGAACAAGGGCUAUAAUGUAGAGUUCAAUAGUCACAAGCAAACUUCUUUCUAUUCUUGCUACAUGUAUGAGAGGCUAGGUAUUAUUUGUAGGCAUGGGAUUAGGGUCUUGAUGGUGAGAAAUAUUUUUGAAAUCCCAUCGCAUUACAUAAUGAGGAGGUGGACGAAGGAUGUGAUGGCAGGUGUUGUACUUGAUGCCAAUGGGAAACAAAUUCAAGGUACUUCUGAUCUACCCCAUUCCAUUUGUUUUAAUGAAGUUAGUCAAGCCACUAGAGUACUUGCAGAGCAUGCGGCAGACUUUGGACAAGUCCACGCAUUUAUAAUGUCUGAGGUAGCAGGUACAGUUGCAAGGGUUGAGGACAAGAUCAGGGAGGUCGUAGAUCCAGAUGGUGGUAUUAGAACCACUUCCUGCAGUCAUACUGAGAAUUAUAGCAAAAACGUUGAGUUUGAAGGACAUGCAUGCCAUAACAUCCUUGAACCCCCCGAGCACGAACAAAUGGGAGACCUACCAAUGAUAUUUAUGUAUCUCGGACUGCGAUAGAGGCAGAGAAAACAAAAGCAAAAAAUAAGGAAGCUACGCGAAAGUGGGCAGCUUGCAAAGGGAGUGGACAUGACAGAUGAAAUUGUCUAUCUCUCAUAAAAAUUGUCUAUCUCUCAUAGUUCAAAGUAUGAAUGAACUGUUGCUCAAUCUUUCAUACUUUUUGUGAUCUUUUUUUCCUUCCCUUUGUGGUUUUAAUAUUAAUUCUUUAUUGUUAAAUAUUUGAAAUGGGUUUUUUUCGUUUAGGUCAAAUGUCAUUAUAAGACGCACAGAUGGGUCAUUGGAGCAUGUGGAAUAUGAUGAGUAAUAGUAAGCAUUUUUUGUGUUUUGCAUUGUACUCAAUAAACAAGUCCUUUAAUUGAUUUGAAAUUUUUAUGCAUGUGUGGUUGUUAAUGCAGUAUCGUAUGUGUUAAUGAAAUAUUAAUUGUUUUAGAUACUCUAGUCAAAUAAUAUCUUUAGUGAAAUAGUUGAUUGAUAUUCAUUGUGGUGAUAUUCAUUUUAGCAUUACUGACAUCCCUAUAUUUGUAAAAUGGGAUGUAGUUGGACUGUUCUGAAAUUGAUUAUUCAAUUUGACUUUGAGUUUUUCUUGUCAGUUUGAAAGUGCACUAGAUCCAAAGUUUCCCAGACACCUUCUGGUUGAACAAUGUCAGGUGUGCCUCAGGUUUACCUAUCAAAUCUCUUCUUUAGGGAUUUAGUCCUAAAGAAGAGAAACCCAGUAAUCUAUAUAAUUCAUCAUACUGAUCUAUAUGCUGCAUUUAAUUACACAGUCUUUCUAACUAUUCUCUUUCUUUUGCUAUCUUUUUUUUCGCCUUUAGUUUCUAAUAAAAUUUAUUAAAAAAUGCAUUUGAUCAACUGUUCAGCUACCCAACACCAUGAAAGACUAGUUUUAGCUCUCAAGGACUUUUUGUGCUAAUGGCGAGAACUUACUGUGAUUCUUUUCUUUGUCACCGUGGUUAUGGAAGGGAGAGAGAUAUUUGCAGUUUUAUCGAGUGGCUCAAUUGUUUGAGCUAGUUUACUAAAAUGCUUUGGGCACUUGAGCCACCUAGUACAUUAGGAAUGAACUUCCACAAAACUAUUUGGUAAAUGUGAUGUACAAAAUCACGAGUGGUAUGUGCUCAUUGCUCUCACUCUCACUUCUACACAUAUUGCAAUUGUUUUCCAAUUGGAGACUCCAUCUUUGGAUCCUAUCAUUAGUGAUAAGCCUAUUUUAGUAGGCCAAAAAUAGGCCCCGGGGUGAAUUGGGCUCUUCCAUAUGGCCUUUAGAAUAUGAUUUCUAAUCCCAUUUUCUCUAAUUGCAUUGUGUGAAAUUGUAUUGCAUUCUACUGCUGUCCCUUGUUUACUAUAUCGCUUUAUGGCCAGGUCGCAACCUCACGAAGCAGACAAGGCAAUGAUUGAAAUCAAGAAGCAGUAUGCUAUUUUUUAUGCGAAAGUUUUAAGUUCACAAAAUGUGGUUACAAUAUAUAUGUACUUAUAAUGGCUUCGUAAUGGCUUGUCUUUGAAUUUCACUCUCUCAGACCUUCGAAAUGUUUGAAGGCUUCUUGUAAUGGCUUGACUUUGAAUUUCUAUCAUUGGUUGGUUUGUGCCCAAUGCUAAUUUGUUAUUGCACAGCAAGCAGAAGUGCUUGUUGCUCAUCCCAUCUUCGAUUUAGGUUUUCCUUUAUACCAUAUACCACUAAAUCAUUGGUUUAUUUGUCUAUUUCCACUUCUGAUCCCUAAAUGAAUCCAUUCUAACUUUUCUUUCAAUUUCUGAAUUCAUACCAAUUGAAAGAUUUUCAGCUACAAACAACGGCUGAAAACACAUGGUAACCUUCAAGAACACAGAGACAGGGGCCCUCUAUUUUUCUCAUUAUCUUUAGACGUAAAUUAUAGAUGCUUGAACUCUCGCUCGCUAUCAAAG
rnacentral:lncRNA from 1 species